AUAUGCCUACGGGGGGCAGCAGUGGGGGAUAUUGCACAAUGGGGGAAACCCUGAUGCAGCGACGCCGCGUGAGUGAAGAAGUAUUUCGGUAUGUAAAGCUCUAUCAGCAGGGAAGAAAAUGACAGUACCUGACCAAGAAGCCCCGGCCAACUCCGUGCCAGCAGCCGCGGUAAUACGGAGGAUGCGAGCGUUAUCCGGAUUUAUUGGGUUUAAAGGGUGCGCAGGCGGAGGUGCAAGUCAGCGGUCAAAUUGCGGGGCUCAACCCCGUACUGCCGUUGAAACUGCAUCCCUUGAGUGCGCGAGAA
rnacentral:rRNA from 1 species